rnacentral:rRNA from 1 species
GACGAACGCUGGCGGCGUGCUUUAUACAUGCAAGUCGAACGAUGAAGUUCCUUCGGGAAUGGAUUAGUGGUGAACGGGUGAGGAACACGUGAGAAACCUGCCAUUCAUUCUGGGAUAACACCGGGAAACCGGUGCUAAUACCGGAUACUCCGUCUUGGCGGCAUCGCCGAGCCGGGAAAAAAUUUUGAUGAAAGAUGGUCUCGCGGCCUAUCAGCUAGUUGGUGAGGUAAUGGCUCACCAAGGCGACGACGGGUAGCCGGCCUGAGAGGGCGACCGGCCACACCGGGACUGAGACACGGCCCAGACUCCUACGGGAGGCAGCAGUAGGGAAUAUUGGGCAAUGGGCGCAAGCCUGACCCAGCGACGCCGCGUGGGGGAUGAAGGUCUUCGGAUUGUAAACCUCCUUCAGUAGGGAAGAAGCGAAAGUGACGGUACCUAAAGAAGAAGCACCGGCUAACUAUGUGCCAGCCGCCGCAGUAAGAC